GCUGGCGGCAGGCUUAACACAUGCAAGUCGAGCGGGGGAAGGUAGCUUGCUACUGGACCUAGCGGCGGACGGGUGAGUAAUGCUUAGGAAUCUGCCUAUUAGUGGGGGACAACAUCUCGAAAGGGAUGCUAAUACCGCAUACGUCCUACGGGAG
rnacentral:rRNA from 1 species